rnacentral:lncRNA from 1 species
AGGUAGCAGUAGUGUGUCACACUCCAGCAGCACAGUCCAUCCUGUAGGUAGUAGUAGUAGUGUCACACUCUAGCAGCACAGUCCAUCCAGUAGGUGGUAGUAGUAGUAGUGUAUCACUCUAGCAGCACCGUCCAUCCAGUAGGUAGUAGUAGUAGUGUAUCACUCUAGCAGCACAGUCCAUCCAGUAGGUAGUAGUAGUAGUAGUGUCACACUCUAGCAGCACAGUCCAUCCAGUAGGUAGUAGUAGUGUCACACUCUAGCAGCACAGUCCAUCCAGUAGGUAGUAGUAGUGUAUCACUCUAGCAGCACAGUCCAUCCAGUAGGUAGUAGUAGUGUAUCACUCUAGCAGCACAGUCCAUCCAGUAGGUAGUAGUAGUAGUAUCACUCUAGCAGCACAGUCCAUCCAGUAGGUAGUAGUAGU